rnacentral:rRNA from 1 species
AUUGAACGCUGGCGGCAUGCCUUACACAUGCAAGUCGAACGGUAACGGGCCUUCGGGUGCCGACGAGUGGCGAACGGGUGAGUAAUGCAUCGGAACGUACCUUUCAGUGGGGGAUAACGUAGCGAAAGUUACGCUAAUACCGCAUAUUCUGUGAGCAGGAAAGCAGGGGAUCGCAAGACCUUGCGCUGAUUGAGCGGCCGAUGUCAGAUUAGCUAGUUGGUGAGGUAAAGGCUCCCCAAGGCGACGAUCUGUAGCGGGUCUGAGAGGAUGAUCCGCCACACUGGGACUGGUACACGGUCCAGACUCCUACGGGAGGCAGCAGUGGGGAAUUUUGGACAAUGGGGGCAACCCUGAUCCAGCCAUGCCGCGUGAGUGAAGAAGGCCUUCGGGUUGUAAAGCUCUUUCGGCCGGGAAGAAAUCGUAUGGGCUAAUACCCUGUGCGGAUGACGGUACCGGCAUAAGAAGCACCGGCUAACUACGUGCCAGCCGCCGCCGUAAGAC